UGCAGGUCAGCAGGAAUUGUGCAUUCUGACUGGUAUUUAUUGACUCAGAAGUCCUUGCUGACAGACAGACAGACAAGUAGAAAAGGCUUCCAUUACAGUGACGUCGUUUCUUUCCCUCUUCGCCCCUGAGGCUUUCACUUCUGACACUCUUUACACAUUGCUGUGGCUUCUCCAGCUGCUGCUGAGGCAAAUGGCAGCUGCCUUUCACCUCUCUGGUGCUGGAAGACUGGAUGCCCGUAGGGAAGAGGACUGUCAGGCUUUCAGUGACAUACUGCAGCACAUCUAUCAGAACUGCAGCAACAACACAGAGCUUUGGUGUUCAGCUUUCCCUCUGAGACUUGGCACCUGGAAAACAUCAACAUCUGGACAAAGAACAGCCAGGCAGAGCCUGGCAGGAUGGAGGAAGUCUGCGGGAGAAUUUCUAUCUUGAAAAACUCAUCUUCAGAACAGAAUGUACCCAUUCAUCUAUGGUAUCUGGCUUCAUAUCAUCAAGUAAGUCAGCAUGGCCAGUUCUUCUGGAUUCCUUGCUCUUCUGGAAUAGCCCCCAAAACAUGGAUACUAAUAAAUCAAUUUCUUAGCUGUAGGAAUCUGGAAAUCUAGGCCUUGUUCAAUCAGAUUUUGAUUUCACUGUGGCAGUCAUCAUCUAUAUGGUUCUGGUUUAUUGUAUUAUUUAUACCCAGAAACAACUCUGGGGAUUGUUCUGACUCAGUUCUGGUGAACUAUAAUGCAGCCAUUUGCUCACUUAACAGCACAGGACACCAAAAGCCUUAUUUCUGUCCAUCAUCUCGACAUCAGCUCUCUCGCAUAUAAUCUAGAUGAAGGUUCUGUUAUCAUUAUUCAGGGCCCUAUCUGGGUCUGACUAGGAUACUAAAGCAUCAUCUAGACCAAGAUUAUUCCUUGGAGAAGGCUAUACUUAAAAGAAUAUUUUUUUUACUUUUCAGAAGCGUAUCUGCACAGAAACUCUAUUUUAGCUUGUGUAUGUCUUCAAUGGGAGCUACAAAAUUGCAGAACGUUUAUUAUUUUUCCCUUUCAUUUUGUUCUGGGGUGUUGUGAGGGGUAGUGAAACUGGAAUCUGUAGUGCACAGUCUGGAAAAGUGCAUUGCUGAGACCAGCUACUUAUGUAAAGGUUUUCUGCAUACUGUGGAGUAGAAAGGCUGAAUGACUGGCAUGUGAUAAACCGAGCGGAGAUGUCUUACUGUGAAACCCAACACUUAUUAUACACCUCUAAUCUCAAUAAACUAGAAAAGCAAAACCUUAGCC